rnacentral:lncRNA from 1 species
CCUCAUCCCUCACCUCAUCCCUCACCCCUCACCUCACACCUCACAGCACAGCUGAGUCCCCCCUCCUACACAGACCCCCCUCGGUCUGCCGCCAUCACACCACGCACAGUCACCCCUUUCCCCCCCAGUACUGCAGACUGCCAUGAGGUCUCCUCACAGCCUCCCCACGGCGGCUGAGCAGAUCCGCCCAUCCCGCUGUCCGACCCGCAGGCACUGCUGGACUUCUGCCUUGUGUUCUCAAUGCCGCGCCUGCUUUGGGCCCGUUGGAUCCAGAAAGAUGAGCCUCUCUGCACCCGGGAUGGGAAAACACACGUUAUGGUGCUGAGAUGUACGGGCAGCAGGUGGACGGCGACAGUAAUGCCCAGCUUCCCUCUCUGCAGUGACGCAGUGAGUCUGGAAACCCAACUCCCACAAAAUUGCCUUUGGUCCGUGGAAAUGUCUGAGAGCACUUUGGCUGUCUGAGGAACUCCCCGGGCAGCCUCAGUUGUUGUUUGCCAUGUGGGCAGCCUGGCCAUUUGAAUGAAGCCCAAGAAGGACAGGUGGGAUGGAAAGGCCGCGUGCAUUGUGUUCAUCCCCUGCUGCACAGCCACCGCUGGGCCCAUUUUGCACUCUCAUCAGUUCAGACAUGCAAAUAAAGGGUGUGUACCUUUCAUUUGUAUGCUGUAGUUUUAAAUAUGAGCCACACAUGAAAAUUGCAUGAAAAACAUCUUUUCAGGCUAGCAGCAAGCCCUUGGCGUGGAUUAAAGGCAGGGUCACCUUAGCAGCAAGGCCGGAGCUCAGCCCUUCCUCAUCACAAGCUUCUCUCACCCGCAGCGUGAGCUGAUGGACGGAGAGCAGCGCAGUCCCCGUGUCAGACACCGGCUGCUCAGACACAGCACAGCCGAAGGCAGAGCCCAAAAUGCAGGUGGGGCUCUGCAGAGGGAGCCUGGUGAGGAACCGCUGGGCACAUCCACCCAGCAGCUAACGAGGCCUGCCCACCUGGCAGCUGCACAGCCCGAGGGAGAUGGACCUUCCAAAGCAUUCAAAUGGGUUGCCUCCCCGAGACAAGUUUUUCAGGCUUGGGAUUGGAGAGGUUUUCUGAGUGCGCUCCCAGCCCUGGCUGCCAAAACAGAAUGGGAUGCACAAGUGAGAGAGUCAGCGAGCCCCCAGGCCGGGUCAGAGCGGGAUCACUGGGGAACUCUCACAUCCAAUAUUGCAGGGGGGGGAAAAAGGCGUCACAGCUGAAAAUUGGCCCAGAAGAGAAGAGUGGAAGCACAUCAGUGCUGCAGCAGAGAGCUGCCUGGGCUGCAUGCGGAGCGCAGGGGAUGGCGUUAGAGCUGAAAGUUACUUGGAAAUGCUGAUGGAUGAAACUCAAUCUGCCAUAUAAAAGUUUAAUUAGAGCGCUGUUAAACCCAAGCUUUCUGGAAGGGACAAAGGAAACCGGGUUUCUAGAAGAUUCCUUCUUCUCCUGGGACUCCGUAAUAGACCUGGAAACAUGGCUGUGGAAUUUCAUCACCACCCAGAGGACAACCAUCCGGACAGCAUCCCAAGGUUGGGCUCCAGGGCUGCGAGCAGCAGCAGUGUUUUUCCACAUCUCCUUCUGCUCUCACUUAAAAAAGAAACGAGAGCUGGGGGAAACGACAGCAGCUCCCACUCCAAUGGGUGAGAAUUCCCAUUUAAAUCCUUACUCAUCUCCCAAGAACGAGUCCUUAAGCAGAGGGGGGGGGGCAGCGCUCAGCUGCUUGGAAUAGAAUUCCAAUGGUUCGUACAACAAAAAUAAUGAUAAUCUGGUGGAAAAAGAAGUCUUGGCAGGAAGUAAAAUUCGGAAGGGAAGGGAGGGGAGAGGCAGAAGGCUGUAGGAGAUCUGAGGGCUGCAGCAGUCACUUCCAGCAAGAGGCAGAGGGCGGCCCCAGGGUGGCCCAGCGGACACUGGGCAAACGUGGCCAACGUGGUGGAAAUACAGGAAGCAUUUUUCAGAGCAUCCAGGAGACCAAAGACCGCACUCCACAAGCUCCAUUCUUCUCUGGCUCCCUGUUAGCUGUCCUUGACUGCAAAGCGGUGUCUCUAUCCUUUGUAAGAGGGAGAAACCCCACUGGGAAGGAAGCG